CGCAUCUGUGUAUGCAGCAUAUCAAUAAGCGGAGGAAAAGAAACUAACAAGGAUUCCCUUAGUAACGGCGAGUGAAGCGGGAAGAGCUCAAAUUUGAAAUCUUCAAGGUUUUACCUUGACGAAUUGUAGUUUAAAGAAGUGUUUUCUGUUGAAGUUUUGGUAGAAGUUCUUUGGAAUAGGACAUCAUAGAGGGUGAGAAUCCCGUAUUUGACCAUUAUUUUCAGCUGUGUGAUACACUUUCAAAGAGUCGGAUUGUUUGGGAAUGCAGUCCAAAAUGGGUGGUAAAUUUCAUCUAAAGCUAAAUAUUGGCGAGAGACCGAUAGCGAACAAGUACCGUGAGGGAAAGACGAAAAGAACUUUGAAAAGAGAGUUAAACAGUACGUGAAAUUGUCAAAAGGGAAGCGUUUGACACCAGUGUUGUUUUCUCGAAAAUCAAUUAAAAGGAGUUUGAUUUUGUUGUGUAUUGACCUUAACAGCUUGCAUUUCAAUUUUCUUGCUUUUUUUAAUGCACUUUUCGUUUAACAAGUCAACAUCAGUUUCUUUUGUUGUAAAAAGGUCAUUGGAAGGUGGCUUUCUUUUCGGAGAAAGUGUUUAUAGCCUUUGACUCCUGCAAUCGGAGAGACUGAGGUCUGCAGCGUAGAUCCUUCGGGGUUAGAUACAUUUGUGCUAAGUUAUAGCUUUUUAUAGACAACUUGUUGACUAUGAUUAGUCUUGUAGCUUACUCGCUUAUGCUAUUUUACCUACGCUUAGGAUGUUGACACACGCGCGUGCUCGAUGAUAGUCUAUACAUGACUCUGUGCAUAUCAAUAAGCGGAGGAAAAGGUCACAUUUGGUUACCUACGCUUAGGAUGUUGACACACGCGCGUGCUCGAUGAUAGUCUAUACAUGACUCUGCGCAUAUCAAUAAGCGGAGGAAAAGGCUGCGGAACUGAACGACCGCUACCUACGCUUAGGAUGUUGACAGCAGUAUAGACUGU
rnacentral:rRNA from 1 species